UGCUUUGGGCAGGUGCUAUGAUGGGGUAUGCUACGAUGAGUCAGUGUAUGAUAGGUUGGCCAAGCUAAGAGCGCCUAAGACUGAGAUGCCAUGCGGACAAGGGCACGACUAUUUAUUUAAUUCCAGGGGACCAUUCGGCUGCCAUUUUUACUGCUACGCACGUCCCCACAAGAUCGCAAGACGUCCCGACGGCAAUGUCUGUCUGAAUCCGAGGACGGCUCUCAAGGGCGGAUGUAAAAGUGGCUACUGCGUAGCUGGUUACCAGAGAAUUUGAGCG